CCUACGGGUGGCAGCAGUGAGGAAUAUUGGUCAAUGGACGGAAGUCUGAACCAGCCAUGCCGCGUGCAGGAAGACGGCUCUAUGAGUUGUAAACUGCUUUUGUACAAGGGUAAACCUGAAUACGUGUAUUCAGCUGAAAGUACUGUACGAAUAAGGAUCGGCUAACUCCGUGCCAGCAGCCGCGGUAAUACGGAGGAUCCAAGCGUUAUCCGGAUUUAUUGGGUUUAAAGGGUGCGCAGGCGGAGGUGCAAGUCAGUGGUCAAAUUGCGGGGCUCAACCCCGUACUGCCGUUGAAACUGCAUCCCUUGAGUGCGCGAGAAGUAUGCGGAAUGCGUGGUGUAGCGGUGAAAUGCAUAGAUAUCACGCAGAACUCCGAUUGCGAAGGCAGCAUACCGGCGCGCAACUGACGCUCAUGCACGAAAGCGUGGGUAUCGAACAGGAUUAGAUACCCCUGUAGUC
rnacentral:rRNA from 1 species